rnacentral:rRNA from 1 species
AUUGAACGCUGGCGGCAUGCCUUACACAUGCAAGUCGAACGGCAGCACGGGAGCAAUCCUGGUGGCGAGUGGCGAACGGGUGAGUAAUAUAUCGGAACGUGCCCAGUCGUGGGGAUAACGUAGCGAAAGCUACGCUAAUACCGCAUACGAUCUAUGGAUGAAAGCGGGGGAUCGCAAGACCUCGCGCGAUUGGAGCGGCCGAUAUCAGAUUAGGUAGUUGGUGAGGUAAAGGCUCACCAAGCCGACGAUCUGUAGCUGGUCUGAGAGGACGACCAGCCACACUGGGACUGAGACACGGCCCAGACUCCUACGGGAGGCAGCAGUGGGGAAUUUUGGACAAUGGGCGCAAGCCUGAUCCAGUAAUGCCGCGUGCAGGAUGAAGGCCUCGGUGUA